rnacentral:rRNA from 1 species
GGAGUUAGCCGGUGCUUCUUCUGUGAGUGAUGUCCUUCCUGCCGGUUAUUGACCCGCAGGCCUUCUUCCUCACUGAAAGUGCUUUACAACCCGAAGGCCUUCUUCACACACGCGGCAUGGCUGGAUCAGGGUUGCCCCCAUUGUCCAAUAUUCCCCACUGCUGCCUCCCGUAGGAGUCUGGGCCGUGUCUCAGUCCCAGUGUGGCUGAUCAUCCUCUCAGACCAGCUACGGAUCGUCGCCUUGGUGAGCCGUUACCUCACCAACCAGCUAAUCCGACAUAGGCUCAUCCGAUAGCGCGAGGCCCGAAGGUCCCCCGCUUUCCCCCGUAGGGCCGUAUGCGGUAUUAGCCUGGGUUUCCCCAGGUUAUCCCCCACUACCGGGCAGAUUCCUAUGCAUUACUCACCCGUCCGCCGCUCGCCACCAGGGAGCAAGCUCCCCGUGCUGCCGCUCGACUUGCAUGUGUUAGGCCUGCCGCCAGCGUUCAAUCUGAGCAGAANACAACUACUGA